rnacentral:rRNA from 1 species
GGAGCUUGCUCUUCUUGGAAGAGUUGCGAACGGGUGAGUAACGCGUAGGUAACCUGCCUUGUAGCGGGGGAUAACUAUUGGAAACGAUAGCUAAUACCGCAUAACAAUGGGUGACCCAUGUCAUUUAUUUGAAAGGGGCAACUGCUCCACUACAAGAUGGACCUGCGUUGUAUUAGCUAGUAGGUGAGGUAACGGCUCACCUAGGCGACGAUACAUAGCCGACCUGAGAGGGUGAUCGGCCACACUGGGACUGAGACACGGCCCAGACUCCUACGGGAGGCAGCAGUAGGGAAUCUUCGGCAAUGGGGGCAACCCUGACCGAGCAACGCCGCGUGAGUGAAGAAGGUUUUCGGAUCGUAAAGCUCUGUUGUAAGUCAAGAACGAGUGUGAGAGUGGAAAGUUCACACUGUGACGGUAGCUUACCAGAAAGGGACGGCUAACUACGUGCCAGCAGCCGCGGUAAUACGUAGGUCCCGAGCGUUGUCCGGAUUUAUUGGGCGUAAAGCGAGCGCAGGCGGUUUGAUAAGUCUGAAGUUAAAGGCUGUGGCUCAACCAUAGUUCGCUUUGGAAACUGUCAAACUUGAGUGCAGAAGGGGAGAGUGGAAUUCCAUGUGUAGCGGUGAAAUGCGUAGAUAUAUGGAGGAACACCGGUGGCGAAAGCGGCUCUCUGGUCUGUAACUGACGCUGAGGCUCGAAAGCG